rnacentral:rRNA from 1 species
AGCGAACGCUGGCGGCGUGCCUAACACAUGCAAGUCGAACGUGAAAAGGGAAACCUGAGUAAAGUGGCGUACGGGUGAGUAACGCGUAGGUAAUCUACCCCAGAAUCUGGAAUAACCUGCCGAAAGGCGGGCUAAUACUGGAUAGAGCGAGGGAACUCGUAAGAGAGUUUUUCGGGAAAGGGAGCCCGCAAGGGCCUUCGUUCUGGGAUGAGCCUGCGUCUCAUUAGCUAGUUGGUAAGGUAACGGCUUACCAAGGCGAUGAUGAGUAGCUGGUCUGAGAGGAUGAUCAGCCACACUGGAACUGAAACACGGUCCAGACUCCUACGGGAGGCAGCAGUGGGGAAUCUUGCGCAAUGGACGAAAGUCUGACGCAGCCACGCCGCGUGAGUGAAGAAGGCCUUCGGGUUGUAAAGCUCUGUCGGAUGGGACGAACAUCUUCAUAGUGAAUAGCUAUGAGGACUGACGGUACCAUCAAAGGAAGCACCGGCUAACUCCGUGC